UACGUAGGGGGCGAGCGUUAGGCGGAAUCACUGGGCGUAAAGCGCACGUAGGCGGAUUUUUAAGUCAGGGGUGAAAUCCCGAGGCUCAACCUCGGAACUGCCUUUGAUACUGGAGAUCUUGAGUCCGGAAGAGGUAAGUGGAACUGCGAGUGUAGAGGUGAAAUUCGUAGAUAUUCGCAAGAACACCAGUGGCGAAGGCGGCUUACUGGUCCGGAACUGACGCUGAGGUGCGAAAGCGUGGGGAGCAAACAGG
rnacentral:rRNA from 1 species